ACGUGUACGGCGCACGAAGGAAAGACGCCUGGGCGCAGUAGCGCAUGCGCGAACAGCUGAUAAUCGUCAGUGAAAUAUACAUAUAAGAAGCGGCCGCCGGGAGGCCCGCCCGUCAUACUGAAUUGGACGCUAUACCAUGCUAUACGUAGCCCGUGUCAGCUGAACCAGCGAUUGGCGACUUUAGACGCCACUUCACCGACUCCUUUCACCGCCGGGUUCUAAGCUGUGAGGCGUGCUCGAAGCUUUGCGUCGCGGCUACUCCAGUUAGGACCUCAACUUCUGCAAGCGCGGUUAUACCAGGCUAGCACGACCCAUUGGUGCUCCUGGAAUGCAUAUGCUACGCUCGGCGGCCAUUUCAUCCCUUCUCACGCAUCAGCUGUCACGCUUCCCGCAAACGCUUCCGUUGCUGUCUUAAGUCGCGCCUGCAGUCAAGUUUUCUUUUGUUUGUGUGCGCCUGGAUAAAGAACUGACUGCGCCAAUCAACUGGAGUACAACGAAGCAACUGUCGUCGCCCCGUGCCUUCCAGCUAACCUACAAGGUGAAUCCCGUGCAACCAAGUGACCGUGUCACUACUACGGGGGACAACGCAACCAAGUGACCAUGGCAAUUCUCCGAGGGACAACGGAGCAACCGUCAUCGCUACGUUCGAUCUUCGGCAGUUAUAUUCACCAGGUGCGAUUCUAGCUUGCGAGGGUGGCGCGGCUAUUAAAUCAACUAAUUGGCAAUGUUAACUGUUUUAGACUGAUUGGCAAGAGAAGGCCGCUGCCACAUUGGGUCGUUGUCGUGACGGAAGCGGAGAGGACUGGGCGGGGCGAUUGUAGCUUUAGGCUUAGCUGACACUACGAAGGGUAGCUCGCACUGCGCAGGCUCCAGCUGGCAGGGGUCCUCUCUCGUUUGCGACACGGACAUCGGCCCAUUCCGAGUGCUAUUGCUUCCCGUUCAUAAUUUCGCGUGUCGGCGCGCGCGAAAUGUGGAAGUAAAUUGCACCCGGAAUUAAUUAGCGUCAGGUUUCUUCCAGCGAAACAGAAGAAGAACGGACGUUGCCUACGGUCUGCAGCGCGGUGCGCUGCGGCGAAGACGGUGGUGGGUGGCCACUUUUUUUUUUCUUCCGUAUGUUCUCGUCCCUACGGCUGUGUCACGCCGUGCUUUCGUCGCUCGACAAGCCAACCAUCGUAGACUAGUCCCAUCGCCCACUCCAGUGCGAUGACACUUGGUGAGUACGUGCUUUCUGGUUACUUUCAUCAUUUAACAAGUGCCUUUUUUGUUAGGUUUCAGUUCUGCAACCUGUGCCUUGGCCCCUGGCACAUGUUCCUGCACCCGGUCGUGUCUGGCGCAGAUCACGUUCAGCACCCGUCUGUCGUCCAGCAGCUGAUCGUGUCUUCACUUCUGUUCCUGCCUCACUGCUAUUCGGGUCCUGGUGAAUGAAGAUGCCUGCAAUCCCCGCCCUGCAGAACGUCCACUGUACUCUGCCACACGCACGCGACCGAGUUUCCUGCACCCGGUCGUGUCUCGUACAGAUGUUCAGCACCUGCCGUCCUACGGCUGAUCAUGUCGCAUUUGUUCCUGUCUCACUGCUUUUGGUGUCCUGCUGCAUGAAGAUGCCUGCAAUAUCCGUGCUGCAGUACGUAGACUGCACUCUGCAUCCUUUGGUGCCACACGCACGCGACGGAUUUUCCUGCACCCGGUCGUGUCUCGCACAGAUGUUCAGCACCUGCCGUGCCACGGCUGAUCGUGUCACUUCUGUUUCUGCCUCAUUACUAAUGGUGUCCUGCUGAAUGAAGAUGCCUGCAAUCUCCGUGGUGCAGUACGUCGACUGCACUCUGCAACCCUUGUCUUGACAUCUGCCGCCCAUCAAGGUCUGUCCCACCAGCGUAGUAGACAAUGACACCAAGUGCAGACCGUAAGGAGGCAGGCGUUGCUCUCGCCACUCAUCGCCUUGCUGCUCCCAAAAGUCACGCUGCAGGAAACGUUCUUCACUGCCUCGACAAGGCCACACAACUAUGAAGUCCCAAGAAACAGCACGACGUCGCGUGACAUGAAUGCUCAUCUAACAUCCCGGUUUGAGUUAUUCGAUCCACCCUAUCGCAGUACUACGGCCACUCGAUGAAGUCGCAUGUUCUUCAGUGGCUGCGACCGUAUUAUGUGGGUACCCAAAAAUCCCACGGGACAUGCUGUUCUAGCUCAUCGUAGUGGUACACUGCUCAGACUCUAGCAUUGGGUUGAUCUGGGGAUUUUCGCUUCUUACUUUCAAUGGCAUUCUAUGCUUUUGUAAUGGUACACCGAUGCUGCUUUGCGUUGCCGAAUUGUGUGUGCAUGCGCUCGUGUGUGUGUGUGUGCGAGCGCGCGCCUUUGAGUGUUUGUGUGUGUGUGUGCGCGCGCGCGCGCC
rnacentral:lncRNA from 1 species